rnacentral:lncRNA from 1 species
CACGUCAUAGCUUGAAGUCAUUUUAUCCCCAUCCCAAAUCUCUCAAACCCUAAGUGCUUGAACGAAGAAGAUCACGAAAAUUCCCAAGUCAAUUGGCCAAGCUCCAUCACUAAAUCCCCUAAAUGAUUGUGAAAUUUACCAAGCUCUUCUAAACCUCUAACCCCCAAAUUCCCCAAAUCUCCCAAUAUCUGAAUCACGAAAUAAAUAAAAUUAAUUAGCCAAACUGCAUCUCGUCAUUGUCGACCAUUGGAAGCGGCCAAAUCAUAUCUCAAGUUAAAAAAUAAAUAAAAUCAAUUUUCAUCUCUUGUUUGUUGGAAACGUUGAUGUGCUAUGAAGGUGACUUUCAUCUCUUCUAGUAACCCAUUUGAGCUUGAGCGAGUAAGUGAGAUCAAGGACCACAGCUUUACUUAGCUCCUUGACACUAUCGCAGUUGCAGUUUGCCCAACUUCGACCGCACAUUGUAAAUAUUAAUUCAAGUUUAAGUUGUAAAUUUCUUUUCAUUGUAAUAUUUAUUUCAGUUGUAAAAUAGCUCUGAUAUUGGUAAACGUUUAUUAUGAUUCCUUGUCUUUUAAACGUCUACUCCUGUCACUUAGAUUUUUGUUCAGAAUGUUAUUAUAGGGGGUAUUAGUCAUUCAAAAAUCUUUCAAACUCACUGGUGUCCGUCCCAUGCACCAGCAAUUGUAAUUUUUUGCUUUCGUCAAUUGUAAUGUUCAGUUUUCAUCAAUCAAUGUUCAAUUUACUUUCAAUGUAUUCAAAUUCUCUAUUGUAAGCUUUCUACAAAAUUGUAAUCAAAUUUUCUUUCGUCCCGAUGCGAUCGAGAAAAGGGGGAAGGUAGUCUAACAGAGCAAACUACUGCUGCACGGUGUCCCUUUCUGUGUCAAGAAGAAAGGCACCCCGUGAAAGUUGGUAUCAGAGCUGCGGCUCACGAUCCUCGAUAAGAAAGCUAUGGAUCUAAUUACAUCCCACACCACUAAAGUGGUAGAGCCUCAAAAGAAGGGUUAGUACUAAACAGCGCGUGGUUGCGCUUGAUGAGACAACUACUAGGUUGUGCUAUGCUUUGGAAGGCCUUGAGGAAAAAGUCGAGAUGGCCAAAUUCGAGAUUCGUGGAUUACACAUCCAACUGGAUGAAAGCCAAAGGGCUUGCGCAGUAAUGACUGAAGCUGCUGCAAUCAUUCCUAAUCUGCAGGAUGAAAUGGAAGCGUUGAGAGCUCAAUUGCGGGUACUCCAACGUGCGGUGGGCAAUGGGUACGCUCCUGCACCUGAGUAUGCUCCUAGACUCAGAAUUCCUGAACCGUGUACCUAUGGAAGGGCACAUGAUGCAAAAGAAGUCGAAAACUUCUUAUUUGAUAUGGAACAGUACUUUCUCGCAGCUUCGAUUCGGUAACCACAGCUACCAUGUAUCUAGGUGGAGAUGCAAAACUAUGGUGGCGAACCAAAUAUGCUGACAUUCAAGCCCAUAGGGUUCGAAUAGAUUCUUGGGAUCUCCUCAAAGAAGCGAUCAGAUCGCAGUUUUUCCCGAAAAAUGUCGAGUAUCAGGCUCGACGGGUACUUCGAGACCUGAAACACACGAGCUCUAUCAGGGAGUAUGUGAAAUCCUUCUCAGGGCAUAUGCUGAAUAUUCGAGAUAUGUCGAAAAAAGAUAAGCUCUUCACCUUCAUGGAAGGGUUGAAACUGUGGACAAGCACGAAACUUCAAAGACAGAAGGUUACUAAUUUGAGCACGGCCAUGGGAGCCGCUGAAUGCUUGAACGACUACCAAACAGAAUCUAGAAAAGAUCGACCUUUGGGGAAUAAUCAAGCAAUUGGAGGUGGUAACAGAUCUUAAAAACCCAGCUCGAACCCAAAUGGGGGAGAGCGUUACUCUCAGAAUAGAUAAGGAGCCUAUCAAAGUACCCGUGGCUCUUAUGGAAACUAUCAUAGUAGCCGUCAAGGAAAUUUUAACGGCAGCAACAGUAACAACUGGAACAAAGGAAAAGCAACGGAGGGACGAACUGAUGCCACUCUCAAAUUGAAAUGCUUUUUAUAUGAAGGACCUCAUCGGGUGUCGAAGUGUCUUCAAAAGUGGAUGGUGAAUGCAUACGACAGUUAGCAAGUGACGGUUCAAGUUCAAAGCAAGAGGCCCCACAGGCUAAUUGUCAUAGCGAGACUAACUCUGAAGAGGAUGAGGACGUAGUUGGGACAUUUUCACAUCGGUGCAACACACUAUCGCAUUGGGUUGCUGAAAAGGAUGAUGUCCCAUUGAAAGAGGCAAAGAUGGAAAAAGCGAAGGCUCGAAUUUGUAGGGCCAAAGGCUUAAUGUACAUUGAUGUAAAAAUCAAUGGGAAGCCAAUCAGGGCUAUGGUGGAUACUGGUGCUACCCAUAACUACCUUGCAUGUACCGAAGUAGAGCGGUUCGGACUUGUUCUAGAAAAGGGUAGUGGAAAAGUCAAAGCAAUCAACUCCGCUGCUCAACCAAUAGCUGGAGUAGCGAAAUCGGUGUUGAUCAAAGUAGGUCCUUUUGAGGGAAGGACAAAUUUAUCUGCAGUUCAGAUGGAUGAUUUCAAGCUUAUUCUGAGAUUGAAAUUUCUUCGGGAUAAUAAGACAGCAGUGUUACCAUAUUCCGACUCGUUAAUGAUUAUGGGUAAUAAGCCGUGUAUUAUCCCUACACAAGUUGGGAGGAUGGGCGAGAAGAGUAUCUCAGCCAUGCAAUUUAGUAAGGGUUUCAAGAGAAAUGAACCCUCUUUUUUAUGCACUCUAAGAUUAGAGGAGAUCGAAGAGGCGAAUGGUCCAAUUCCAAAACCCGUUAAAAGGCUUAUUCAGGAAUUUGAGGACAUCAUGCUGGAAGAAUUACCAAAGAAAUUACCACCAAGAAGGACGAUUGAUCAUGAGAUUGAACUUAUUCCAGGCACCAAACCUCCUGCCAGGGCACCAUACCGUAUGUCUCAGCCUGAGCUUGAAGAGCUUAGGAAGCAAUUGGGAAAAAUGUUGGAGAGUGGAAUCAUUGUGCCUGCGAAGUCACCAUACGGAGCUCCUGUAUUUUUUCAGAAAAGGCCGAUGGUUCUCUUAGAAUGUGCUGCGACUAUCGAGCCUUGAACAAGAUUACUGUAAAGAAUAGCUAUCCUAUCCCACUGGUUGUGGAUUGCUUCAAUCGACUGAGUAGGGUGAAGUAUUACACAAAAACUAAUCUUAGGUUCGGAUACUGGCAAGUUCGGAUCAAAGAGGGAGACGAAGCAAAGACUACGGUGGUAAUCAGAUAUGGAGCCUUUGAAUUUAAAGUGAUGCCUUUUGGCUUGAUAAACGCUCCAGCAACAUUUUGUACUAUGAUAAAUCAGGUACUUCACGGGUUCUUAGAUGAUUUUGUCGUGGUAUACUUGGAUGAUAUAGUAAUCUACAGCGAGACAUUGGAGGAACAUGUCCAGCAUGUGAGGCAAGUUUUUAAUCGGCUACAGGAGAAUGAACUUUAUGCUAAGCCAUCUAAAUUCUCAUUUGCUCAGACAUCUAUCAGUUUCUUGGGUCACAUCAUUGAAUAAGGUAAAAUCCGCAUGGAUUCGAAAAAGGUUACAGCUAUCAAAGAUUGGCAACCACCAAAAAUCGUACAUGAUGUACGUUCAUUUCUUGGGUUAUGCAAUUACUAUCGAAGAUUUGUGAAAGGCUACUCAGAAAUUGCACUGCCACUUACUGAAUUGACAAAGAAGGAUAAGGAUUGGGAUUGGUUAUCCCAAUGCCAGGGUGCUUUUGAAAGGUUGAAGAAGUCCAUGUGGAAGAACCCGAUUUUAGCCUUACCAGAUAUGGCUAAACCAUUUGAAGUUCAUAUAGAUACUUCAGAUUUUGCACUUGAUGGAGUCCUCAUGCAAGAAGGACAUCCGAUAGCAUAUGAGAGCCGAAAGUUAAACCAAACAGAACGUCGUUACUCGGCAUAUGAAAAGGAAUUGUUGGUAGUAGUCCAUUAUCUCAGAGGAUGGCAUCACUAUCUGCUUGGGUCUCCAUUUAUUGUGAAGACAGAUAACACUGCAGUUAGUCACUUUAUGUCCCAAUCAAAACUAUCAAGCAAACAGGCUCAUUGGCAGGAAUUCCUUUCAGAGUUCAAUUUUAUUUUAGAGGAUCGUCCCGGCUCUAGUAACCAUGUUGCUGAUACUCUUAGUCGACGGGCUGAUUUAGCUGUCAUCUGCUCCGAAGCUGCUCUUUCAGGGAGCGCAGUCUCCACGAACACUAGAGACCAAAUUCGAGCACUUAUGGAGAAAGACCCGGCUACCCAAUAUUUGAUCGACCUCAUCAAGUAGGGUAAAACUUGACAGUUCUGGCUCGAUGGGGAACUAGUGAAGACAAAGGGAGAACGCCUAUAUGUUCCUAAGGGCGGAGAUCUGAAGAAAUCACUAAUUACAGAAUGCCAUGACACAAUUUGGACAGGGCAUCCCGGAGAGGAACACACUUGUAAACUACUGCAACGUACAUAGUACUGGCCUCAAAUGCGAGACGACAUUACAACAUAUGUAAAAGCCUGUCUUAUUUGUCAGCAAGAUAAGGCAAAUUAUCAGAAAAGGCAGGCUUGCUAGGGCCCCUUUCCAUCCCAACUCGGCCAUUCGAAAGUAGUGUAUCGAUGGACUGCAUUAUUGGGUUGCCAAAAGUUGAGAAUUUUGGCACUAUCAUUGUCGUGGUGGACCGUUUAACAAAAUAUGCAACUUUCAUUGCAGCACCUAAGUAUGUAUCUGCGGAAGAGACAGCUCAACUUUUCUUCAAACAUAUUGUCAAAUACUGGGGGCUGCCUAAGGACAUCGUCAGUAAUCAAGAUCCUCGUUUCACUGGCGUAUUUUGGACUAAGUUGUUCAAACUUCUUGGUUCAAAUUUGAGCAUGAGUUCUAGUUUUCACCCAUAAUCCGACGGAUAGACAGAGCACUUCAAUUCUAUGCUAGAAGAAUAUCUUUGGCACUUUAUCUCUACUUCGCAGAAAAACUGGGUAAAACUUUUGGAUUUGCCCAAAUUUGUUUCAAUGCUCAAAAGAGCUCUUCUACUAAUAAGAGUCCUUUUGAGAUUGUUACUGGCCAGCAACCUCUACUCCCUCAUACAAUGGAUAUCGAACAAAGUACCAAGUCCCCUCAAGCAAAGAACUUUUCUCAAGAGUGGAAACGAAAUAUUGAAAUUGCUCGAAGUUAUCUUAAGAAAGCUCUAAAACGGUAUAAAAAGGCUGUAGAUCUGAAGCACCAUUUCAAUAAAUUCAAUGUUGGAGAUCUGGUAAUGGUUAAGCUUCCCCACAGAAAUGUUUACAAACCAACAAGAGGGAAGGACUCAAGAUUGUCGCCAAAAUAUAUUGGACCAUUACCCAUCGUGAAGAGGAUUGGAAGAGUUGCAUACAGAGUUGAACUCCUUUCAUGGUGUAAAAUUUAGGAGGUCCUUCAUGUUAGUAUGUUGAAGCCAUACUUUGUGGAUAAGGAGGACGCAUCUAGAAAUGAGCCAAAGCGACCUGUAUUUGAACUGAAGAGAGCUGGAAAGAAGGUUGCUGAAACUAUUCUUGACCAUCGAAUCACUUGAACUUCUAAAAAAGAUCAUCGGGAGUACUUGGUCAAAUGGAUGGAAUGCAGCAGUGAGGAGAAUACUUGGAAAAGAGGAAAAGAUCUCGGAACCUUCAAACCAUUAAUUGAAGCAUAUCAUGCAUUGAUAGCACCGAGGACGUCACCAAAACAAAUAGGGGAGAAUGUCAAGGAUGGCAGCUUUACUUAGCCCUUUGACACUAUCUCAGCCACAGUUUACCCAACUUCGGCCGCACAUUGUAAAUAUUAAUUCAAAUUUGAGUUGUAAUUUUUUUGUCAUUGUAAUAUUUAUUUCAGUUGUAAAAUAGUUCUGAUAUUGGUAAACGUUUAUUAUGAUUCCUCGUCUUUUAAACGUCUACUCCUGUCACUUAGCUUUUUUUUCGAAAAGCUAUUAUAGGGGGUAUUAGUCAUUCAAAAAUCUUUCAAACUCACUGGUGUCCGCCCCCUGUACCAGCAAUUGUAAAUUUCUGCUUUCGUCAAUUGUAAUGUUCAAUUUUCAUCAAUCAAUGUUCAAUUUACUUUUAAUGUAUUCAAAUUCUCUAUUGUAAACUUUCUACAAAAUUGUAAUAAAAUUUUCUUUCGUUGCGACGCGAUUGAGAAAAGGCGGAAGGUAGUUUAGCGGAGCAGACUAUUGUCACACGAUAUCCCUUUCUGUGCCAAGAAGAAAGGCACCCCGUGAAACAUGGUGCCGCAGGUGGUAGUGUAGAGGGAAAUUUUGGGGAAAAUGUUUUCCUUCUUUUACCUGUUAAUUUCACUUUCCCUGCAUUAUUCUUCCAUUUAUCUUUCAUAUCUGUUAUUAUUUGUCGUUUCCCUUUCCAUUUCUGUUAUUUUCAUGUUUCUCUUCUUUUAUUUGUUAACUUGAGAUAUGAAUUUACAAAAAUGAAAUAAAUAUGAAUUGAGAUAUGAGUAUGAAUUUAUUUGCCUAAUUUCUUUCUUUUCUAUGUUAAAUGGAGAUGAAUAUAAAUUUAGGAACUUUGGCAUUCUAGAGAAUCUAUGUUCAUAAAGCCUGUUCACUGAAGGGCAAUCCAAGUUGAAGAUACAUCUUCUAUGUUUAAGACUGCUGCUAAAAUAAUUGAAGAACACGACGUUGAGGUCUCUCUCCUAAAUAUUACUAUCCGCAAGAGAAAAAUGAGAUAUGGAAAAGAAAGGGAAACAAAAGAAAGGAGCUCCAUGAAAUGUUUCUGCCUAUUUUAUUUCGUAACAAUGUUUCCUGUAAUUGUUCUUGGUGUAAAAGUUCAUUGUAAUCGUGAUAUGUUAUUCGAUCAUUACUGUAUAUAUGUAUUUAUUAACAAGUUCGAACAAUAUGAAUUACCAAUAUAGAACAAUCUCUUGUAUCAAUUAAUAUGAAGUAGAUAUUGUGAUGUAUUAUUACGCUUGCAUCUAAACAUAAUCUUCGUGCCUUCGCAUUUUCAUUUGUUCUUGGC